rnacentral:rRNA from 1 species
CAGCAGUGGGGAAUUUUGGACAAUGGGCGAAAGCCUGAUCCAGCAAUGCCGCGUGUGUGAAGAAGGCCUUCGGGUUGUAAAGCACUUUUGUCCGGAAAGAAAUCCUUGGCUCUAAUACAGUCGGGGGAUGACGGUACCGGAAGAAUAAGCACCGGCUAACUACGUGCCAGCAGCCGCGGUAAUACGUAGGGUGCGAGCGUUAAUCGGAAUUACUGGGCGUAAAGCGUGCGCAGGCGGUUUGCUAAGACCGAUGUGAAAUCCCCGGGCUCAACCUGGGAACUGCAUUGGUGACUGGCAGGCUAGAGUAUGGCAGAGGGGGGUAGAAUUCCACGUGUAGCAGUGAAAUGCGUAGAGAUGUGGAGGAAUACCGAUGGCGAAGGCAGCCCCCUGGGCCAAUACUGACGCUCAUGCACGAAAGCGUGGGGAGCAAACAGGAUUAGAUACCCUGGUAGUCCACGCCCUAAACGAUGUCAACUAGUUGUUGGGGAUUCAUUUCCUUAGUAACGUAGCUAACGCG